ensembl:lncRNA
UAUAUAUAUAUAUAUAUAUAUAAAAUAUAAAACAAAAUAUAAAAACCAUAACAAACAUAUGGCUUCUGACCCGGUCAGCUAGUCUAAAAGAACAGAACUAAGGAGAGGCUGGUGUGAUAUUCUUGAACAGAAUUGUGUCAAUUAGAUCAACAUCCUGUUGAGAAAUUGACUAUAACAAAAGCCCAUUUAAAAAAAAAAAAACAACAAAAAAAACCCUAUAUAUAAUACAUUUCCCACAAAUAUUGCUGUCCUGGACCAGGGGUAUCAUCUUGGAGCUCAUUUGAAAUUGCAUUUCUAUUGAGGGUUUAUAUAUAAAAUUUUCAUUUACUACUCAUGUCACUGCCACGCUGCACCUCUAUACCUCCUCGUCUACUUGCCCUACACACAGUUCUGAAGGUUGCCUGCUGACAGGGAAGGAUGUACUUGGAGUUUGGCUAAACCUGAC